rnacentral:lncRNA from 1 species
UUUUUUUUUGUGCAACAUAGAUUGUGUUGCGAGAUUUUUUUUUGGAACAUAGGUUCUGUUGCGGGAUUUUUUUUUUCUGUCUUCACUUUUUUCUACAACAAGGAUAGUGUUGUAGAAAAACUUUUGCAAGGUAGGCUUGCAGAAAACAUAUAAUUUCUACAACAAGGAUAGUGUUGUAGAAAAACUUUUGCAAGGUAGGCUUGCAGAAAACAUAUAGAUGAGAGACGGGGAGAGGAACGCGAUGUUUUUUAGACGAAGAGGUACAUCUUGUGUUUCCUUCAGUGGGCCAUGAGAGCACGUGGCGGACGUGUCGAUUGUUUUCGGCUGGUUGACGCUGAACAUUUCUCUUUGAGAAAUGGGGAAAUAUUGCGAAAGUGCUUUUCUGCUCCCGAGCUCAUUUGAGCUCGGCGAACAGUAAAAUCAAAAAAAAUAAAAAUAAAAUCAAAAAAAUUCAAAAAAAAUUCUCAGAGAAACAUUGACAAAAGUUCUAAGAGCUUGUAAAAAUUCAUCAUGAAAUCACAUUCCUGUAAGGCGUGGCAAAAAAAACAAAUUCAGCCUCCAAAAUGCUUUUGAAAGUAGCAUUUUCAGAGUACCGAUUUUGUUUUUUUUGCCACGCCUUCUAGAAAUGUGAUUUCAUGACGAAUUUUUGCAAGCACUUAAAACUUUUCUCAAUAUUUCUACCAAAAAUUUUUUGGAAUUUUUUGAAAUUUUUUCGAUUUUUUUUCGAUUUUGCUGUUCACCCGAGCUCAUAUGAGCUCGGGUGCAGAAACUCCACGUCCGAAACAUUGUUAAUAUACAGUCAUACGAUAUUAUUCUCAGAUCACACAAAUUAUCAUAUAUGAAGUUAAUUUUUUUACAAACCAGAAUAUCACAAUUCACACGUAUACAGAGUUGUAUGCAUAAUCACAAUUCACACGUAUACACGCAAAUGGGGUGGAUAAAAAAGGUAUGUUUUCCUUUUUAACAUGCAAAGCAACGCCGAGGUGAUUUGAUUCAGACUUCAGAGGCACACCACUGCUUAUUUAUCAACACUGCUACAACACUCGCUCGCGCCAGAGGAUUUGUUGAUCGAGAG